UACGUAGGGUGCGAGCGUUAAUCGGGAUUACUGGGCGUAAAGCGUGCGCAGGCGGCUUUGCAAGACAGAUGUGAAAUCCCCGGGCUCAACCUGGGAACUGCAUUUGUGACUGCAAGGCUAGAGUACGGCAGAGGGGGAUGGAAUUCCGCGUGUAGCAGUGAAAUGCGUAGAUAUGCGGAGGAACACCAAUGGCGAAGGCAAUCCCCUGGGCCUGUACUGACGCUCAUGCACGAAAGCGUGGGGAGCAAACAGG
rnacentral:rRNA from 1 species